rnacentral:lncRNA from 1 species
UUAGUAAAGUGUCUGAAUAUUUAAGAAUGGUGUUGUGUUUACUCAUGCUAAACACUUACACUUAAAGAAUAAUUUUAAAGUGAGGUUAAUCCUAAUUUUGGUACUUGUUCUCAAGUACUAAUCAUAAAAUAAUCAUGGUUUUGAUUAUGGAUUAAUCUUGGUUAAUUAAGAUUUAAUCUUGGUUAAUUAAGAUUUAAUCUUGGUUUAACUGAGAAUUAAUCUGAGAUUAAUUAAAGAAUAAUCAUGAUUAAUUAAGUACUAAUCUUGGAUUAAUUAAAGAUUAAUAUGAGAUUAAUUAAGGAUUAAUCUAGGAUUAAUUAAGAGUUAAUUAUGAUUAAUUAAGGAUUAAUUAUGAAUUAAUUUCAGAAUGAUUAUGGAAGUAAA